GAUGAACGCUGGCGGCGUGCCUAAUACAUGCAAGUCGAGCGAACGGACGAGAAGCUUGCUUCUCUGAUGUUAGCGGCGGACGGGUGAGUAACACGUGGAUAACCUACCUAUAAGACUGGGAUAACUUCGGGAAACCGGAGCUAAUACCGGAUGAUAUUUUGAACCGCAUGGUUCAAAAGUGAAAGACGGUCUUGCUGUCACUUAUAGAUGGAUCCGCGCUGCAUUAGCUAGUUGGUAAGGUAACGGCUUACCAAGGCAACGAUGCAUAGCCGACCUGAGAGGGUGAUCGGCCACACUGGAACUGAGACACGGUCCAGACUCCUACGGGAGGCAGCAGUAGGGAAUCUUCCGCAAUGGGCGAAAGCCUGACGGAGCAACGCCGCGUGAGUGAUGAAGGUCUUCGGAUCGUAAAACUCUGUUAUUAGGGAAGAACAGAUGUGUAAGUAACUGUGCACAUCUGGACGGUACCUAAUCAGAAAGCCACGGCUAACUACGU
rnacentral:rRNA from 1 species